rnacentral:lncRNA from 1 species
AUGCAGCAGGCAGCACUGGUGGUGGGCCUGCCACAGGUGGCACCGAUGGUGUCAGUGGCAGAGGCCUUUUGUUUUUUCUGUGUUUGGGAUCAUAUAUUAUGGUCCCCAACUUUAUUUCGAGAAGGAAGAAGGAGAAGAAAAAAAGAAAAAAGAGAAGAAAAAAAGAAGAGAAGAAGAAGAAGGAGAAGACGGAGAAGGAGGUAGCACUGGUGAGGG